UCGCACUCAGAGAUUCUGGCUUAAUGGGACUGGAGGUAGAACGGCAGCUUUAAUAUAUAUGUAUUUUUUCUUUGAUAGGAAGCAUUUGAAACCAUUGCCCAAGAAGACUGCUUCCCAAACUUGGCCGCACACAGAAUUACAUCAGGAAACUUUAGAAAUACAGAUGCCUGGCUCCUACUCACAGAAAUUCUAAUCAGGAUGCAGUGUACCAUGUACUCCUGAAAAUAUGUGGCGUCCGCUGGGAUCAUUCAUUGCUGAAACGUGGAAGGAAGGAGUUCAAUGUCAGCGGCAAGUGCAACUGAUGGGAGUACAUGUUCAGCGUCAAGAAUGCUAUAUCCAAGAAUGCCAGUGGCUGCUCACACCGGCUCAUUACACAUGUGUCAGUGUUACGUCCUGCUCGUGGCUGCAUAGAAUUCCACCGCAUGGACGUACCACCGUCUGUUCACCCAGCUGAGGCUGUUUUGAACUAUAAUCGCAGAGGCACUCCGUCCAUCUUCCAGGACCGCAGAGAUAGGAUGGAGUUCUUCCCUUGAGGAGUUUGGAAUUCAGUGGAGAGAGAGAACAAAGU